rnacentral:rRNA from 1 species
UUGUUGGAGAGUUUGAUCCUGGCUCAGGACGAACGCUGGCGGCGUGCUUAACACAUGCAAGUCGAGCGGAAAGG